UUAUUUAGUUUUUGAAGUUUCUUUUCAUAUGAUUGCUUGAAGCAAAUUAUGGCUCGCUUGGUCUUUUCUAAGAACAUUUAUGAAGAUUUAAGCCUGAAUCAGUGGAAGGGGGAAAGUCCUUGCUUUCGGGAGCAUCGAUUUUAUUAUGAAGUUCAAGCAGAAAGCUUCAGUAGCUUCAGCCUUUAAAUCUGUUCUUGGGAAAGUAGCAGAACAGCAGGAUGUGCCUGACAAACUACAACAACUGAGGGAGAGGAUGACCAAAGUGCGAGACCUUUUCCGGGAUUCCAAUUCCACAGUUAUAGUAACCAUACCAUCAGUAAGACCUUGAUUUCACUUUUUUGUCGACACGGUGCAACUUUUAACGUUGUGACUACCUUUCUCUGUGUACUGAUCAAUCAAAUAUUUGUGCCGUUUUUAGAAUAAAAUAUCUGCUUAGCUUGUUGACUAGGUAUUGUACUUGUAGCUGAGUUGGAAGAUAGUUAGUAAGACUCUUUGGCAGCUAUUUUGCCUGUAGAAUAGUUAGCAAGACUCUUUGGCAGCUAUUUUGCCUGUAGAACUACUAACAAUGCAUUAUUAUUUUUUGCAUAA